rnacentral:rRNA from 1 species
UUAAGCGACUAAGCGUACACGGUGGAUGCCCUGGCAGUCAGAGGCGAUGAAGGACGUGCUAAUCUGCGAAAAGCGUCGGUAAGGUGAUAUGAACCGUUAUAACCGGCGAUGUCCGAAUGGGGAAACCCAGUGCAAUUCGUUGCACUAUCGUUAACUGAAUACAUAGGUUAACGAGGCGAACCGGGGGAACUGAAACAUCUAAGUACCCCGAGGAAAAGAAAUCAACCGAGAUUCCCCCAGUAGCGGCGAGCGAACGGGGAGCAGCCCAGAGUCUGAAUCAGCUUGUGUGUUAGUGGAACGGUCUGGAAAGUCCGACGGUACAGGGUGAUAGUCCCGUACACCAAAAUGCACAGGUUGUGAACUCGAAGAGUAGGGCGGGACACGUGGUAUCCUGUCUGAAUAUGGGGGGACCAUCCUCCAAGGCUAAAUACUCCUGACUGACCGAUAGUGAACCAGUACCGUGAGGGAAAGGCGAAAAGAACCCCGGCGAGGGGAGUGAAAAAGAACCUGAAACCGUGUACGUACAAGCAGUGGGAGCACCUUCGGGUGUGACUGCGUACCUUUUGUAUAAUGGGUCAGCGACUUAUAUUCUGUAGCAAGGUUAACCGUAUAGGGGAGCCGCAGGGAAACCGAGUCUUAACUGGGCGUUAAGUUGCAGGGUAUAGACCCGAAACCCGGUGAUCUAGCCAUGGGCAGGUUGAAGGUUGGGUAACACUAACUGGAGGACCGAACCGACUAAUGUUGAAAAAUUAGCGGAUGACUUGUGGCUGGGGGUGAAAGGCCAAUCAAACCGGGAGAUAGCUGGUUCUCCCCGAAAGCUAUUUAGGUAGCGCCUCGUGAACUCAUCUUCGGGGGUAGAGCACUGUUUCGGCUAGGGGGUCAUCCCGACUUACCAACCCGAUGCAAACUACGAAUACCGAAGAAUGUUAUCACGGGAGACACACGGCGGGUGCUAACGUCCGUCGUGAAGAGGGAAACAACCCAGACCGCCAGCUAAGGUCCCAAAGUCAUGGUUAAGUGGGAAACGAUGUGGGAAGGCACAGACAGCCAGGAUGUUGGCUUAGAAGCAGCCAUCAUUUAAAGAAAGCGUAAUAGCUCACUGGUCGAGUCGGCCUGCGCGGAAGAUGUAACGGGGCUAAACCAUGCACCGAAGCUGCGGCAGCGACACUAUGUGUUGUUGGGUAGGGGAGCGUUCUGUAAGUCUGCGAAGGUGACCUGUGAGGGUUGCUGGAGGUAUCAGAAGUGCGAAUGCUGACAUAAGUAACGAUAAAGCGGGUGAAAAGCCCGCUCGCCGGAAGACCAAGGGUUCCUGUCCAACGUUAAUCGGGGCAGGGUGAGUCGACCCCUAAGGCGAGGCCGAAAGGCGUAGUCGAUGGGAAACAGGUUAAUAUUCCUGUACUUGGUGUUACUGCGAAGGGGGGACGGAGAAGGCUAUGUUAGCCGGGCGACGGUUGUCCCGGUUUAAGCAUGUAGGCUGAUUAUCCAGGCAAAUCCGGAUAAUCAAGGCUGAGGUGUGAUGACGAGGCACUACGGUGCUGAAGUAACAAAUGCCCUGCUUCCAGGAAAAGCCUCUAAGCAUCAGGUAACAUUAAAUCGUACCCCAAACCGACACAGGUGGUCAGGUAGAGAAUACCAAGGCGCUUGAGAGAACUCGGGUGAAGGAACUAGGCAAAAUGGUGCCGUAACUUCGGGAGAAGGCACGCUGGUGUGUAGGUGAAGUCCCUGCGGAUGGAGCUGAGACCAGUCGAAGAUACCAGCUGGCUGCAACUGUUUAUUAAAAACACAGCACUGUGCAAACACGAAAGUGGACGUAUACGGUGUGACGCCUGCCCGGUGCCGGAAGGUUAAUUGAUGGGGUUAUCCGUAAGGAGAAGCUCUUGAUCGAAGCCCCGGUAAACGGCGGCCGUAACUAUAACGGUCCUAAGGUAGCGAAAUUCCUUGUCGGGUAAGUUCCGACCUGCACGAAUGGCGUAAUGAUGGCCAGGCUGUCUCCACCCGAGACUCAGUGAAAUUGAACUCGCUGUGAAGAUGCAGUGUACCCGCGGCAAGACGGAAAGACCCCGUGAACCUUUACUAUAGCUUGACACUGAACAUUGAGCCUUGAUGUGUAGGAUAGGUGGGAGGCUUUGAAGCGUGGACGCCAGUCUGCGUGGAGCCAACCUUGAAAUACCACCCUUUAAUGUUUGAUGUUCUAACGUUGGCCCCUGACCGGGGUUGCGGACAGUGUCUGGUGGGUAGUUUGACUGGGGCGGUCUCCUCCCAAAGCGUAACGGAGGAGCACGAAGGUUAGCUAAUCCUGGUCGGACAUCAGGAGGUUAGUGCAAUGGCAUAAGCUAGCUUGACUGCGAGCGUGACGGCGCGAGCAGGUGCGAAAGCAGGUCAUAGUGAUCCGGUGGUUCUGAAUGGAAGGGCCAUCGCUCAACGGAUAAAAGGUACUCCGGGGAUAACAGGCUGAUACCGCCCAAGAGUUCAUAUCGACGGCGGUGUUUGGCACCUCGAUGUCGGCUCAUCACAUCCUGGGGCUGAAGUAGGUCCCAAGGGUAUGGCUGUUCGCCAUUUAAAGUGGUACGCGAGCUGGGUUUAGAACGUCGUGAGACAGUUCGGUCCCUAUCUGCCGUGGGCGCUGGAGAAUUGAGGGGGGCUGCUCCUAGUACGAGAGGACCGGAGUGGACGCAUCACUGGUGUUCGGGUUGUCAUGCCAAUGGCACUGCCCGGUAGCUAAAUGCGGAAGAGAUAAGUGCUGAAAGCAUCUAAGCACGAAACUUGCCCCGAGAUGAGUUCUCCCUGAGACUUUAAGUCUCCUGAAGGAACGUUAAAGACGAUGACGUUGAUAGGCCGGGUGUGUAAGCGCAGCGAUGCGUUGAGCUAACCGGUACUAAUGAACCGUGAGGCUUAACCU